rnacentral:rRNA from 1 species
GACGAACGCUGGCGGCGUGCUUAACACAUGCAAGUCGAACGGAAAGGCCCUGCUUUUGUGGGGUGCUCGAGUGGCGAACGGGUGAGUAACACGUGAGUAACCUGCCCUUGACUUUGGGAUAACUUCAGGAAACUGGGGCUAAUACCGGAUAGGAGCUCCUGCUGCAUGGUGGGGGUUGGAAAGUUUCGGCGGUUGGGGAUGGACUCGCGGCUUAUCAGCUUGUUGGUGGGGUAGUGGCUUACCAAGGCUUUGACGGGUAGCCGGCCUGAGAGGGUGACCGGCCACAUUGGGACUGAGAUAGGGCCCAGACUCCUACGGGAGGCAGCAGUGGAGAAUAUUGCACAAUGGGCGGAAGCCUGAUGCAGCAACGCCGCGUGCGGGAUGACGGCCUUCGGGGUGUAAACCGCUUUCGCCUGUGACGAAGCGUGAGUGACGGUAAUGGGUAAAGAAGCACCGGCUAACUACGUG